GAAUAACGUGUACCGGUACAUAUUCGUAUACGUUCCAGUGAAUCAUAACCAAUAAUUGUGUAGAACGUGUACUGUAUACCUGUAUGGUAAAGAUCGAGUGAAGUUACAUGGAAUAUACAUAAAUUCCUUGGGCGAACAACAGUAGCGGCAAUUUAGUGUGUUAGUUUUCGACAGGAAGGUUGGUAAUAACCCUAGGAACAAGUGGCAUAAUUGGUAGCUGUUCGAGCAUCGCAUUUGCAUAGCCGGACACGUAAGGAGUUUUACUGCGAAACGUACAGAGGUAGACCGUAGACGAAGACCCCAAGAGAUUUGGCGAUGCCCGACGCCGCAGCGCACCGGUUGCCCUAAUAUGCGGGCCGUAUAAAUUAGCAGUAUUUCCUUAGAGUCUGUGCACAUAUAUAUACACCUCUCGCCUUCUACCGUUUAUGCAUUUUGCAUGCACCUCGCAACAUGAACGGCCGCGCCGAGAUGCCAACGCCGACGUCGUUCUGCCAUAUCGGACUUAACUGGCAAUCUGUUACGCUUUUGGUAUAACCUUACCAAGGGCUUGGUGAUCUGGUUUAAUUAACGGGAACGGGGUAAAUGAGGUUAUGCGUUUAUUCCUCAAAGUGGUUAACCCUGUCAGAGUCCAUACCCGGGCAUCGAUUCUUUUUCGCGUGACUUCAGACCUUAGAAAUAGUGAUCUUGACUGAGCUGUGCUACGAAUUUGUAUAGAAAUGCGCUACUUUCGGAGCUUGCCAAAUAAUUGCGUAAGUAACUCGACGUCGGAGCAUAUAAUUCACGGGCGAUUAAGCGACGGAGGCCCUAGAGCACAGAGGCAAACAAUUCAGGGCUCGAUGUUGGGGUUGAGGCAUCGCGAGUGUGAAAUUCGAAUAACAGAGAGAAAUUUGUACGUAGCACGAGGACUUCGAAUAAAUAGGAAAUAAUACGAUCUGAAUUCGUGCUUUCGUAUACAGUAUCACCGUACAGAACGCGAUGCUCUUACAGACAGUUAACCAAGGUAAAUGUCCACUGAAAUCACUUUAUUUUCCAGAGCCUCUUUAAUUCCGGAUAAUUUCACGGAACAUCAGCGUCCUCCACAUUGUAUACCUAUACCUGCCGCAUUACGUAACAGGCUCAAUAUCUCUUUACUGCUUCUGCCGUAUUUACCCCGGAGGUAGCCAUUUGUAUUUUUACCUGCCCAACGGUGGAAAUCUCCAACGGUCAAAUCUACGAUUCGUGUCAGUAUACACUUUGACCAAGGUCCUUUUAAUUUAACCUUUAACCCCGCAAUGUCACCGUCGACCAAUUAACUUCAUCUUGAUGAAACUGACAAGCGCUCGCUGACGUCUUCCGUCUCUGCGUAAUCAUCAGUCGUAACUUAUUUUCAGCCAUUACCGUCUCGUUUCUUCAUUGCCGAAUUCCAUUUUCCAGGGGAGAAAAGAAGAAAUACCUAUAUAAGGGUGGAUAGAAAAAAAAAAAGAAACGUAUACGACAUUCUCCGUGGCUGAUCGCGUGCCCAGAGAUUGCCUUCGUGGAUCGUUUCCGUUUCCGAGGCAAUUUCGAUUCAUUAUUAAAAAGGCUUUCUUUCGUAGCUCUCUCUCCUUCGACCUCGGAAUCUCGAUAAAAAAUGUUCUUUGAUAUCCUCCACGAAGGAGCAUCGAUCCAAACCCAAAGAACCUUCUUCCUGCCGGCAUCAAUAUUGACUCGCUGGUUGAACGCUAAAUGGGAAUCGAAAAUUAUGCUGGCCAAUCGAGAAAGCUUUGCUUUGGAAAUUAAAUGAAAGCUCAGGUUACGAAAGACUCCGUUGGUAACCUGCUUGGAAAUACAUACAGAGAGAGUUGGACAAGAUUUUUUUAAGAGGACGAUAAAGAAGUUUGGGAAAUAAGUUUUCACGAUUUUCACGUUUCACGAUUUGUUCCAAUGCUUUAUUGUGCAAUUUACAUUAUUUCUCUUCGUAUUACGAAUUGCAGACGAGGAAUACAAAAAAAAAAAGCAUAAAACGUCUGCGAGUAACACGUUACUUCAUACUCGAGUAUAAAUUUGCUGUGGAAACUUGUCGACGAUAUAAUUUAUACUCUUGGGACAAAACGAGAAACCAACGUGGGAAUAAAUAUUACUUCGGCCUGACGAGGUGAUUAUCAAGUCGUCGAGCGUCGGGACGUUACUGUGACGCCGUUGCGAAAAAUAUUUUUAAUUGUCGCGGUAAUUACUUUCAUGGCAAUAACUCGUAGCCAGGUAGAACGAGGGUGAAGGAUAAAAAUAGAAUAUAGGAACUGCGAAUUAUAUAUGAAUUUAUAUGUGUGUGUGUUGGUUGUGAAAAUUUUGCAAUUUCAUUUCGUUACAUUGGCUGCACUCGUUCACGAUUGCCAAUUUAGCGAUAUGAAUUUUACGAUAAAAGUUUUUUUUUUUUUUUUUUUGUUGAAUUGCAAAUUAUUACGGCCAUGUGGAAAUUGCGAGAUUAUAAACUUUUUAUAUUAUUCGGAUCUGUAUACCUAUAUGCGCGUAGAGUACCACGUUACGCGGUAUAGCGAUGUCUUACGUCUUCGAGAGUUCUUUCUCAAAGCUUUGGUUUAUUUUUGUACUGUAUUGGAAUUCGAAUCGAAGAAGUUUGUACCCUGUGUUAUUCUAUGAGCGUUCGGACGCUACGAUAAAAUUCCACGUGUGCGAAUAUACGCUGUUUCUGCUCGUAGCUGCGUAUAGCAAAGAUUUCGCAAGUUAUCAAUAACAGUUUGUGUAAGGUCGAUAACAGCUCGAUUCAGCAUAUAGUAAAUAUAUUGGCAAAUAAGAAUUACGAUAAAUUCGCAACACAGUAACGUUAUAUGCAAACAUUAAAAAUACAUACGAAAGGAAAGUACAUUGACGCGAAUGAAAUAAUGUAAAUUAUGAGAAAUGUAAAAAAAAAAUGGCAAAAAGAUAAAAUCCAAGACCCACCGGUGGGUGAAGGAAAUCGCAAAGACUCAUUGGCGAAUUAGCAUACGGAGAUGAGUUUUUGGCCUUUUGCACCUUUUGCACCUUUACUUAAUGAGAAGAAAGAGAGUUCGGUAUACCGAGACAAGAUAAUUUGAAAGAUCGGUAAUUAUUCGCUUUUAAUAUUUUAAUGAAAUAUUUUAUACAUACCUUUCUUCUCAAAACGGUAGUCCCAGCCUUCUUGACAUUUUUCCCAAGAACACACGGAAACACGAAUGUGCAGUAUAUCUGUCAUAGGAAAAAUUAUUCCAUAGCCCAUUCGUAUUUUUAAAAAAUUUCAAAACAUUAA